rnacentral:rRNA from 1 species
UACGUAGGUGGCAAGCGUUAUCCGGAAUUAUUGGGCGUAAAGAGCGCGCAGGUGGUUGAUUAAGUCUGAUGUGAAAGCCCACGGCUUAACCGUGGAGGGUCAUUGGAAACUGGUCGACUUGAGUGCAGAAGAGGGAAGUGGAAUUCCAUGUGUAGCGGUGAAAUGCGUAGAGAUAUGGAGGAACACCAGCGGCGAAGGCGGCUUCCUGGUCUGUAACUGACACUGAGGCGCGAAAGCGUGGCGAGCAAACAGGAUUAGA